GAAAAAUUAAAAUCUAGGGCCAGGUUAGCGUUAAAAGUCUCAGCCCCGAUUUCGGACUCGGGUCCAGGAGGAAUUUCGACAAAAAUCGGUGCCCCAGAUCCGGCUAUCUCCGGAUAUGAGUAGCUUGGUUGAAAGGCUUCGUGUAAGAUCAGAGCGAAGGCCAAUUUAUAUCUUAGAUGAGUCAGAUGAUGAUGCUGAUUUUUUGUCAGGAAAACCUGGGAAAUCUCAGGAAAAAAUUGAAAGGAUAGUCAGGCCUGAUGCGAAAGAUGACUGCUGUCAGUCUUGUGGAGAAAACGGGGAUCUUCUGAGCUGUGAAACUUGCACCUACGCUUACCAUGCCAAGUGUCUACUUCCACCGCUAAAAGCUACUCUUCCUAGCAACUGGAGAUGUCCUGAAUGUGUUAGCCCUCUGAAUGACAUUGAUAAGAUAUUGGACUGUGAAAUGCGUCCUACUGUAGCUGGUGAUAACGAUGUCUCUAAGUUGGGCUCGAAGCAAAUUUUUGUGAAACAGUAUCUUGUGAAGUGGAAGGGAUUAUCUUAUCUGCACUGCACUUGGGUACCAGAGAAAGAGUUCUUAAAGGCUUUCAAGUCAAAUCCUCGUCUGAGGACUAAAGUCAACAACUUCCAUCGUCAAAUGGAAUCAAACAAUAACUCUGAGGAUGACUUUGUUGCUAUUCGGCCCGAGUGGACUACUGUUGACCGGAUCCUUGCUUGCAGGGGAGAUGAGAAUGAGAAAGAGUAUUUUGUGAAGUAUAAAGAACUUCCCUAUGAUGAAUGCUAUUGGGAAUUUGAAUCAGAUAUAUCUGCAUUUCAGCCUGAAAUAGAAAGAUUUAACAGAAUUCAGUCUAGAUCUCGCAAAUUGAGCAAGCAGAAGAGCAGCCUUAAAGAUGCUACCGAUUCCAAGAAGAAACCAAAAGAAUUUCAACAGUAUGAACAUAGUCCUGAAUUUCUAACUGGAGGCUCAUUACAUCCAUAUCAACUAGAAGGGUUGAACUUCUUACGUUUCUCGUGGUCCAAACAGACACAUGUGAUACUUGCUGAUGAGAUGGGCCUUGGGAAAACUAUACAGAGUAUUGCAUUUUUAGCAUCUCUUUUUGAAGAAAGCAUCUCACCGCAUUUGGUAGUAGCUCCACUUUCAACAUUGCGAAAUUGGGAGCGCGAAUUUGCAACGUGGGCACCUCAAAUGAAUGUUGUUAUGUAUGUUGGCUCUGCACAUGCUCGUGCUAUUAUAAGGGAAUAUGAAUUUUAUUAUCCCAAGAAUCACAAGAAGAUCAAGAAAAAGAAAUCUGGUCAAGUUGUUGGUGAUAAAAAACAAGAUAGGAUAAAAUUUGACGUGCUGUUAACUUCUUAUGAAAUGAUUAACUUGGACACAGCAUCAUUGAAACCAAUAAAGUGGGAGAGCAUGAUUGUUGAUGAAGGUCAUCGUCUCAAAAAUAAGGAUUCAAAAUUAUUUCUUUCAUUGAAGCAGUAUUCUAGCAAUCAUCGUGUGCUUUUGACUGGAACUCCUCUUCAGAACAAUCUGGAUGAACUCUUCAUGCUCAUGCACUUCCUUGAUGCUGGGAAGUUUGCUAGUUUGGAGGAGUUCCAGGAGGAGUUUAAGGAUAUAAAUCAAGAGGAGCAAAUUUCGAGACUUCAUAAAAUGUUGGCUCCCCAUCUCCUUAGAAGGGUCAAGAAGGAUGUCAUGACAGAGCUACCUCCUAAGAAGGAACUCAUUUUACGUGUUGAACUAAGUAGCAAGCAGAAAGAAUAUUACAAGGCCAUUUUGACUCGUAACUAUCAAAUAUUGACCCGACGUGGUGGUCCACAGAUUUCUCUUAUCAAUGUGGUUAUGGAAUUGCGCAAGCUGUGCUGUCAUGCUUAUAUGUUAGAAGGAGUUGAACCAGAUAUUGAAGAUGCCAGUGAAUCUUACAAGUACUUGGUUUUGUUCUUUUAUAUUAGUAUGUGGUGUGUGAGAGAGCGAGAGUGCACACGUGUGCAUUUACUUUGUAUGUGGAUAGUAUACUUAUUUUCUACAUUGGGAUUAUGAUAGGAUAUAUUCUUUCAUCUUCUACAUUUGCAUCUUUUGUUUUUUCUAGGGAGCAUGGGCUAUAUUUAUUCAAGAAAAGUAUUAGGUUUCCUUGUACUUGUAGAGCUUGAAAGGAAUCUAUCUUGAUGGUUUUGUCAGGUCAAACAUCUUUUUGAGGGGGCAAAUGUUUCUGUCACAUCGUUCAUUCAACUGCUAGUUUCUUCUAUAUUUUAUCUUAUUGCCUAUAUUGAAAGAUAGCUAGAAUCUUCUGGAAAUCAGAACUAUAGAAAACAAUUUGUUCUAGAAAAUGCUUUCAAGUAUGCUAAAUUAUACACUGCAUUAUUAUUCAUCUGUUUGUGCUUCGACAGACAGCUUGUGGAAUCUUCUGGGAAACUGCAAUUGUUGGACAAAAUGAUGGUGAAGCUUAAAGAGCAGGGACAUAGAGUUCUUAUUUAUUCACAAUUUCAGCACAUGCUAGACUUGCUGGAAGAUUAUUGCACUUAUAAGAAAUGGCAGUAUGAACGGAUAGAUGGAAGGGUUGGUGGAGCCGAGAGACAAGUACGCAUAGAUCGAUUUAAUGCCAAAAAUUCUUCAAGAUUUUGUUUUCUGCUUUCUACUAGGGCUGGAGGAUUGGGAAUAAACCUUGCAACUGCUGAUACAGUUAUUAUAUAUGAUAGUGAUUGGAAUCCUCAUGCUGAUCUUCAAGCAAUGGCCAGAGCUCAUCGACUUGGCCAAACCAACAAGGUAAUGAUUUAUAGGCUUGUUACACGAGGAACUAUUGAGGAACGAAUGAUGCAGAUGACUAAGAAGAAAAUGGUUUUAGAACAUCUUGUUGUUGGGAGGUUGAAGGCACAAAAUAUUAACCAAGAAGAACUAGAUGACAUUAUUAGGUAUGGUUCAAAGGAGCUAUUUGCUGAUGAGAACGAUGAAGCAGGAAAAUCACGUCAAAUUCAUUAUGAUGAUGCUGCUAUAGACCGAUUACUUGACCGUGAACAAGUUGGAGAUGAAGAAGCUUCAUUAGAUGAUGAGGAAGAUGGAUUUUUGAAGGCCUUCAAGGUUGCAAACUUUGAGUAUAUUGACGAAGCAGAGGCUGCAGCAGAGGAGGAAGCUCGAAAGGCGGCUGCAGAAGCAAGAUCUGCCAUGAGCAAUUCUGAAAGAGCAAAUUACUGGGAAGAGUUGUUAAAAGACCAGUAUGAAGUGCAUAAGAUCAAGGAGUUCAAUGCCUUGGGCAAGGGAAAAAGAAGCCGUAAACAGAUGGUGUCUGUUGAAGAAGAUGAUCUUGCUGGUUUGGAAGAUGUAAGCACUGAAGGCGAGGAUGAUAAUUAUGAAGCUGAUUUAACUGAUAGUGAAACAGCUUCUUCUGGAACUCAAACUGGGAGAAAGCCUUACAGAAAGAAAGCUCGCGUGGAUAAUAUGGAGCCAAUUCCUCUGAUGGAAGGUGAAGGAAGGUCAUUCAGGGUAUUGGGUUUCAAUCAAAAUCAGAGGGCUGCUUUUGUACAAAUUUUGAUGAGGUUUGGGGUAGGGGAGUAUGACUGGAAGGAGUUUGCAUCUCGCAUGAAACAGAAGACAUAUGAAGAAAUAAGAGAUUAUGCAGUUCUUUUCUUGUCUCACAUUACUGAAGAUAUAACCGACUCGCCAAACUUUUCAGAUGGUGUUCCUAAAGAAGGACUUCGAAUACUAGAUGUACUUGUUAGGAUUGCUAUACUGCUUCUGAUCAGGGAUAAGGUGAAGUUUGCAUUAGAGAAGCCAGGCACUCCACUUUUCACAGAUGACAUUGUCCUGCGCUAUCCGGGGUUGAAGAGCGGAAAAUUUUGGAAAGAAGAACAUGACUUGUUAUUGCUUCGUGCAGUAUUGAAGCAUGGAUAUGGAAGAUGGCAAGCUAUUGUUGACGACAAAGACUUGAGGAUUCAGGAGGUCAUUUGUCAAGAGUUGAAUCUUCCUUUUAUAAAUCUACCUGUCCCAGGACAAGCUAGUUCUCAAGCACAAAAUGGUGUUAACACAGUUGCAGCGGAAGCUCCUAGUACUCAGGUGCAGGGAAAUGGAAAUGGUACUAGCAAUUGUUUGGCAGCUGAUGUUGCACAGGGUGUGACAGAUGUUGCCAACCAACCACAGUUAUAUCAGGAUUCUUCUAUACUAUAUCAUUUUAGAGACAUGCAGAGACGACAGGUUGAGUUCAUUAAGAAGAGAGUUCUGCUUUUGGAGAAAGGUCUCAAUGCUGAGUACCAGAAAGAAUACUUUGAUGAUGACCCAAAAUCAAACGAAUUUACAGGUGAAGAGCCUGAAGGUGACAUAAAGGCUGCAGAUGGAUCAAAUUUAAGCUCCAUAGAGAUUGAUGCUCAAAUGAUUGAUCAGUUGCCUCAAAUAGAACCAAUUACAUCCGAAGAAAUUUCCAAAGCUGCUUGUGAUGAUGAUCCAGAUAGAUUAGAAUUGCCGCAACUGUAUAACAAGAUGUGCAAUGUAUUGGAGCUUAACAUUCAUGAAUCAAUUCAGACAUCCCUAACCAACAAACCGGCCAGUCUAAAGUUGAGGCAGGACCUUCUUCCAUUGGAGACUAUUUGUGAUCAGAUAAAUCAAAUUCUCUCUGUGGAACAGAAGUCUUCUUCUGAACAGCAAGUACUUGAUCCAAAUCAAGCACAAGCUGAGUUAAAGGACAAUCUACCAGAAUCACAUUCACCUUCUAUCCAGCAGAAUAAUGAUAAACCUUCUGCUUUGGAAGAUACUGAGAUGAAGGAUGUAACAACGGAGUCCAAAUUGCAAAGAGAAGGCAGCGUAUUGAUAGACCAGGGGCUGGUUAAAGAGCCAGACAAAUCUCCAUGUGAUAUUGGAGCUUCUGCCGAUAAAUGUACAUUUUCAAAGGAAAUGACCGAGAAUGAAGUUGAAAUGCAAGAAGUUAAAAACGAUGCUGCCUGUUCAUCAGGGAUAGCUGAAAAUGAUUCGGGAGUUGAAGAAAUGAAGAAUGAUACAGAGACCAAAACUGAAGCUAUCCCAAAUGAAAAUGAAAUUGCCGAUAAAUUGAAAUCAGGGGUCAUCAUUUUAGAAGACUGAUACCAUACAAAUAACAAUCUCAUUACAUCUUUCAUGAUUCUGUUGCUGUAACAUUUAUUUUUACAGGCCUUAGCAAAAGGUGACUCAAUUUGCUGCAACUCUCCAAUAUCCAUAGAUCCUUUUCUUUGGUGUUUCAUGUAGAUUGCAUUUUCAACUUUGAAAGCAUGAGACAAAUUUAUGCGGAGUUACGAAACUCAAUAUAUUAACGAAAAGCUGAUCAAUAUUUAGUCUCAAGCAACCUCAAAGGAGGUUCACCUUGUGGAGCUCUUUAUUAAAAAAAUCAAUUUAUAGACUCUGAAUGAAUACCCCCCAAUUUCCAAAUGCGUCGCUAAUUUGUAGUUAAUAUUGGUC
rnacentral:misc_RNA from 1 species